UUUACAUAAAAAUAAAGGUAUGCUGAAGGUUUAUUUAUAACUCAUAAUUCAACAUUAACAUAAGUAUAUCAUUCAUCAUGGAUUUUCAAACAAUAGUGUCAAUUACUUGUGGUUUGGCUUAGAUAAAUUAUGCAAAGUAAUUUGGUUUUUGAAAAAGGUAUCUGAUUAUUAUCAUUAUCAAAAAUAUAGUUUUAGUAACUUGUUGAACCAUCCCUUUUUUUUCUCUCUGUUGUAUAUCUGUCAUAUACAUGUUGAAGAAUUAUGGCACAAACUGUGAUGAAUAAUGUUUGCUCUCUAUAUAUACAUUUCUUAUGCAAAAUCAAAAAUAAUGAAUUGUAUUUUUCCUUCUAACAUUUGGUAUUAAAAACAUUAAUACAUAAGCUGGCACUGUGCAAUCUUUAUUUUGAUAUUUGGAAUAUUUCAUAACAAUAUUUCCUUGAAAAGAAAUGACAAUAAUUAGAAUUUCACCUACUAUUAUUCUUUAGUGAUUUUAAAAUAAUCA
rnacentral:lncRNA from 1 species